rnacentral:rRNA from 1 species
UACCUGGUUGAUCCUGCCAGUAGUCAUAUGCUUGUCUCAAAGAUUAAGCCAUGCAUGUCUCAGUACAAGCCUACCUAAGGAGAAACCGCAAAUGGCUCAUUAAAUCAGUCAUGAUUCAUUGGAUGUUGCCAAGACUUUACUUGGAUAACUGUGGUAAUUCUAGAGCUAAUACAUGCACCUGAGCUCCGACCCCGACGCAAGGAAGGGAAAGGGCGCUUUUAUUAGAUCAAAAACCGAUCGGACUUCGGUCCGUCUCUCGAAAAAGAGCAGUGAUGACUCUGAAUAACUUAGCCGAGCGCUGCGGUCUUAGUACCGGCGCCGUAUCCUUUGAGUGUCUGCCUUAUCAGCUGUCGAUUGUAAGAUAUACGCUUACAAUGGCUGUAACGGGUAACGGGGAAUCAGGGUUCGAUUCCGGAGAGGGAGCCUGAGAAACGGCUACCACAUCUAAGGAAGGCAGCAGGCACGCAAAUUACCCACUCCCGGUUCGGGGAGGUAGUGACGAAAAAUAACGAUGCGGGACUCUUCCGAGGCCUCGCAAUCGGAAUGAGCUCAUUUUAAAUCCUUGGACGAGGAUCCAUUGGAGGGCAAGUCUGGUGCCAGCAGCCGCGGUAAUUCCAGCUCCAAUAGCGUAUAUUAAAGUUGCUGCGGUUAAAAAGCUCGUAGUUGGAUCUUGGAUCCGGACCGGACACCCAUCCAAGGCGCGUCCUCGCCUUAAGGGGGCGGUUUCCCUACGCCCGAUCCGUCCCAAUCUUCCCUUUUCGCUUCGCCUCUAUCCCCCGUUUUCGCUUUCCCGAGUCGGAAGGUGCCGAAAAAAAAAAACGGAGAUAGCGUCGUUUUCGGUCGAGACCUCUUCGCUUUGUCGCGCGAGCGCGGCGUCCGCCUUUCGCUAGGUGCGGCGUCCGUUGCCGUCGGCAUUUCGCGUAAGUCAAAACGGUCGGUUAAAGAAACGGCGCGAAACUCUAGUUAUUCUCUCGGUCCUUCUCGGCGUCGGGUUUAAAAAAGCGGGCGGGCCAGGGAUGGUCGGCGACGGCGGGAUGCGGUCGUUGGGAAUUUAUGCGGGUCGGCGCGCUUAGGGGCCGCUCUCCGGCGAGAACAGCGCGCCCGGUGGUUCUAUGGCCGGCUUCGGAUUGAAAAAACCGUCGGGCUCGCACGGGGUGCUCUUUACCGAGUGUCCCGCGUGGCCGACACUUUCACUUUGAGAAAAUUAGAGUGCUCAAAGCAAGCAAUAACUCACGCUUGAAUGGUGAUGCAUGGAAUGAUAAAACAGGACCUCGGUUCUGUAUGUUUGGUCGGUUUUCCGAACCAGAGGUAAUGAUUAACGGAGACAGACGGGGGCAUUAGUAUUGCGACGCUAGAGGUGAAAUUCUUGGACCGUCGCAAGACUAACUACUGCGAAAGCAUUUGCCAAGAAUGCUCUCAUUAAUCAAGAACGAAAGUUAGAGGAUCGAAGGCGAUCAGAUACCGCCCUAGUUCUAACCAUAAACGAUGCUAACUGGCGAUCCGCCGGAGUCAUUCCCACGACUCGGCGGGAAGCCCCCGGGAAACCAAAGUCUUUGAGUUCCGGGAGAAGUAUGGUUGCUAAGCUGAAACUUAAAGGAAUUGACGGAAGGGCACCACCAGGAGUGAGCUGCGGCUUAAUUUGACUCAACACGGGGAACCUCACCAGGCCCAGACACCGUAAGAUUGACAGAUUGAGAGCUCUUUCUCGAAUCGGUGGUUGGUGGUGCAUGGCCGUUCUUAGUUGGUGGAGCGAUCUGUCUGGUUGAUUCCGAUAACGAACGAGACUCUCCCCUGCUAACUAGUCGGCGGAUCGUCUCCCGAGGAGGGUUCUAGCCGAGUGUGUCGGAUCGUUCCUUCGUUACGCCCAUCGUCGAACCCGUUGGUCGUCGUCGUUACGUCGUUUAGUCGAAAUCCUCCCCUCCGCCGUCAGCCUCCGUGGCGAAACGACGGAAGAUGGAUUUUCGGCUAGCCGGCGCUCGACGAUUGGCGGGACCUCGAACGAUGGAACGUGCGUUAAGACGGUCUCCUCGUGCUUAGAGCCCGACGAGGGGCGUCCGUCGCAACGUCUUCUUAGAGGGAUCGGCGUCGUCCAGGCGCACGAGAUAGAGCAAUAACAGGUCUGUGAUGCCCUUAGAUGUUCUGGGCCGCACGCGCGCUACAAUGAAGGGAUCAGCGCGCUUCCCCCCUCCGAAAGGAGCGGGUAACCCUAUGAAACCCCUUCCCGAUUGGGAUUGGGGAUUGCAAGUGUUUCCCAUGAACGAGGAAUUCCCAGUAAGCGCAAGUCAGCAGCUUGCGUUGAUUACGUCCCUGCCCUUUGUACACACCGCCCGUCGCUACUACCGAUUGAAUGAUUCAGUGAGGGCAUCGGACUGGCCCCUUCGGUGAUCCUUCGGUUUCGAUUCUCUCUCGUUUCGGCGAGGGAAACGGCCGAAGGCACCCUUGGGCUGACGGAAAGAUGUCCGAACUUGAUCAUUUAGAGGAAGUAAAAGUCGUAACAAGGUUUCCGUAGGUGAACCUGCGGAAGGAUCAUUA